rnacentral:rRNA from 1 species
CCUACGGGUGGCAGCAGUGGGGAAUAUUGGACAAUGGGCGAAAGCCUGAUCCAGCCAUGCCGCGUGUGUGAAGAAGGCCUUCGGGUUGUAAAGCACUUUCAGUGGGGAAGAAAGCCUUGGGGCUAAUACCCUCGAGGAAGGACAUCACCCACAGAAGAAGCACCGGCUAACUCCGUGCCAGCAGCCGCGGUAAUACGGAGGGUGCGAGCGUUAAUCGGAAUUACUGGGCGUAAAGCGCGCGUAGGCGGUCUGAUAAGCCGGUUGGGAAAGCCCCGGGCUCAACCUGGGAACGGCAUCCGGAACUGUCAGGCUAGAGUGCAGGAGAGGAAGGUAGAAUUCCCGGUGUAGCGGUGAAAUGCGUAGAGAUCGGGAGGAAUACCAGUGGCGAAGGCGGCCUUCUGGACUGACACUGACGCUGAGGUGCGAAAGCGUGGGUAGCAAACAGGAUUAGAUACCCUGGUAGUC